rnacentral:tRNA from 1 species
CCCACAGUAGCUCAGUUGGUAGAGCAUGGAGCUUGCAACACCAGGGUUGUGGGUUUGAUUCCCAUGGGGGG